UAGGGAAUCUUCCGCAAUGGACGAAAGUCUGACGGAGCAACGCCGCGUGAAUGAUGAAGGCUUCGGGUCGUAAAGUUCUGUUGUUAGGGAAGAACAAGUACCGUUCGAAUAGGGCGGUACCUUGACGGUACCUAACCAGAAAGCCACGGCUAACUACGUGCCAGCAGCCGCGGUAAUACGUAGGUGGCAAGCGUUGUCCGGAAUUAUUGGGCGUAAAGCGCGCGCAGGCGGUUUUUUAAGUCUGAUGUGAAAGCCCACGGCUCAACCGUGGAGGGUCAUUGGAAACUGGAGAACUUGAGUGCAGAAGAGGAGAGCGGAAUUCCACGUGUAGCGGUGAAAUGCGUAGAGAUGUGGAGGAACACCAGUGGCGAAGGCGGCUCUCUGGUCUGUAACUGACGCUGAGGCGCGAAAGCGUGGGGAGCAAACAGGAUUAGAUACCCUUNUAGUCCGCGCCGUAAACGAUGAGUGCUAAGUGUUAGAGGGUUUCCGCCCUUUAGUGCUGCAGCAAACGCAUUAAGCACUCCGCCUGGGGAGUACGGUCGCAAGGCUG
rnacentral:rRNA from 1 species